rnacentral:rRNA from 1 species
GUAAGGAAUAUUGGUCAAUGGAGGCAACUCUGAACCAGCCAUGCUGCGUGCAGGAAGACGGCCCUCUGGGUUGUAAACUGCUUUUAUCCGGGAAUAAACCUGCCUUCGUGAAGGUAGCUGAAUGUACCGGAAGAAUAAGGAUCGGCUAACUCCGUGCCAGCAGCCGCGGUAAUACGGAGGAUCCAAGCGUUAUCCGGAUUUAUUGGGUUUAAAGGGUGCGUAGGCGGCCUGUUAAGUCAGGGGUGAAAGACGGUGGCUCAACCAUCGCAGUGCCCUUGAUACUGAUGGGCUUGAAUGGACUAGAGGUAGGCGGAAUGUGACAAGUAGCGGUGAAAUGCAUAGAUAUGUCACAGAACACCGAUUGCGAAGGCAGCUUACUAUGGUCCUAUUGACGCUGAGGCACGAAAGCGUGGGGAUCGAACAGGAUUAGAAACCCCGGUAGUCC